AAUGUUAAAUAAACAUUUGGGCCCAGCUGUUGUCUGGGGUGAGUUUACUAGGCCUAUAGUACUGUGGUACAUUAAGCUUAUUGCCUGCGCUUUAUAGCAGAGGGAUUAAACCCAUGUGCCCCCUCAC
rnacentral:snoRNA from 1 species